CCAAUCCGGGGCCUUCUAUCACCACCUAGAAUUCUACACCAUUCCAUGCCCCAAUUUUGCGCCGCACGAUCACAUAUAUCUCAAAACCCUACACCCCAUCUUCAGCCUUUAUAAGUGCCGUUCAUCCCCUCGCUCCGGUAUUGAUCUUUAAAUCUGAAAUGAUCCAGCAGCACGCUGGUGAGGUUCUGUAGGCUACUGGAUCUAUUCAUAUUUAGAGGUCAAAAGAAGAAUUCAAUUUGGCUUUGUUGAUUUGAUUAACCCGGUGUCUAUGAUGAUUAAUUUUAAGGCUGGUUUCUCAAAAACAUUCGCAGUGGCCGUCUAAGAACUUUCGCCUUCGCCAGGCUUGAGAGUUAAUGCUGCUUCAAUCCUUCCUUGGAUGUCUGAGACACUAUGCGUUUGAAUGUCUGUGUUAAUACUACAAAUAUGCUUUGUGUGUGUGUCUUUCAUUAUUGGUUCUGUUCUUAUUUAAUGUUUUUAGAAUUUGGUAAAAGUGUAAUCUUUUUUGAAAAACAUAUUGAUUUCAGUUUCAUUUAUAAUAUUGGGACUUUGAAUGUCUGCCCCUCGAGCAUUGGAAUUGGAUUGCUUUAGGGAUGAUUAGUCCCUGAAUUCAAUUAUUUCAUCCAUCCAUCACUUUGUCAGCAUUUCUCUUUCCAAUGAUGCGCUGGCCAUGCAGGGAUGGAACAAUUUUUUCUCCUUAUUACAAGUAAAAAUGUAAAUUAGUUUGAUGUCUCUGAUGACAAAUCCAAAGGCUUGUUUCUCAAAACAUUCGCAGUGGCCGCCUAAGAGCUUUCGCCUUCGCCAGGCCUGAGAGCUACUGCUGCUUUUAUCCUUCCUUGGAUGUCUGAGACAUCUCUAUCUCCAAUGUGCAUAAGGGUUUGAAAUCAUGUGUUUUGCUUUGAAUUGUUGUGUUUUUGUUUAUGGAUCAGUUAUUGUUAUAUUGGCUUUAUUAUUGCGAUAAUAUAAUAACUAGAUUUCAUUAAUCAAAUAUGUUGAGAAAAAGUUGAGGCUAAGGAAUAUUGCUCAUUUAGGUUAUGUGAGAUGUGCGUUUAGCUUCAAUUUAUGUUGCAAUUGCUAUAUUAAACAAACAAAAUAAAAUGUAAUAGGUGUGAUAACAAAGUUCUUACCGUUGAUAUGCCGUUGCCAAAUUGGCAGUGCAUUUUUUAUAUUGACUUUGUUUUGACUUUUUGCCUCACAUCUAUUGUCACUUCAUUCCAAUAAAUGAAGUUUAACUUUCCUACGGGGUUUGAAGCUCAUAUAGCUUUUUUAUAUAGCAAGUUUCACAGUCCUCUCAAAUCGGCCCCCUCUCUUUUAUGUGAGAGGGAUGUGAAACAUGUUGUAUAGAAGUGUUGUUUGCCUAACAAUCCCACCAUUCCAGCACCCCAAUAACUAUUUACCUGCCCACCCAUCGAUAAUUUAUCCACUAUCCUCCAAUUUUCACAUAUUUUUAGUUUAUAUUGAGAAAAAAAGUUACAAUAUUCUUUGCUUUUCCAGGGUCAUCUAUCUUUUUAUAAAGUAUAGGUACUUCUUUUUUAGUUAUUUACUAAUAAAUUUUCAAAAAAAUUUCUUUUAUAUGCUUUGAUUUGUGUUUUAAUCGUGUAAUCUCUAACUAGGUUUUUCUUUGUCGGAUGAAAAAAAUAAUCUUGAUGUGUCGUUUAUGUGUAUAAGCGGAUUACUCUUUGUUUGAUUUUAAAGAAAAUAGAAUUUUCAUGGAUCCGAUAUUUAAUUUUUAAUUUUUUGAUCAUAUACUUUUGAAUAUUUUAGUCAUUCGGGGUGGGUAUAUAUUUUUGUGGAGUGGGUGGAACAGAGGUAACAACCGAAUGGAUUAAGCUUCAUUUAUUGGGAUGAAGUAACAAUAGAAUGAUAGGUAAUAUGGGGUAAGCUAAAUAAAUAAGUUAAUAAAGGAAAAUGUAUUGUUGAUGUGACGAAGUGUCAUUAGCGGUGGGAAGUUUGUUCUCUUGCUCACUUGGGUCAGGACUUUAUAAUGAAAAUUUGUUCGCUUUUCACAAUGUGUAGCAUGGUUAUGUCCUUGUUUUGUACCAUGGCUUUUUACUAAGCAAUAAAUGAAAAUGGAUUCACGUUUAAAUAUUUUUGUUUGUAUAUGAGUCUUAGCUUUCUAUUCCUAGAUAUAGCUCUUUAAUUUCGUGUGAGGUUUCUAGGUUUAAUUUUGGAGGAAGGUUGUGAAGGGUUUUGUUCUCCGUUUCUUCUAAGAAUUAAGGAAUCAAAUAAGAAAGAAUUUAGAACCUAAUUGAAUUAAAAGCUUAGACGUACAAUUAUGCCAUUGAAGUGUGCUUUUCGUGGCUCUCUACACCAAUAACCUAGCUUUUUUCGUCUCUUUAGCCUUUUCCCUUGUUCUCCUCUUAAAUAUCUCCUUCGUAAAUUUUUAAAGAGGCAUUUAAGAGGAGAGAACAAGAAAGAAGGCAAAGGGAUGAAGAAAAUUAGCUUGCCACUUAAAAGCAUGUUUCAACAGUAUAAUUAUUAUUUGUUACAUGUAGAUUUAAACUUUUAAUUCGACGAAUUUUGGGAGUUCUAAGAUUCUUUUCUAAUCUUAGGGAGUGUUUGAUUGUGAACAUGAAAUUUACAUGAAAAGAAUAUUGUCUAGAAAUUAUUUGCAUAAAAGUUGUUAAUUAAUGUGUUUGAUUGAUUUUAUUUUCAACUUGAAAAAUGUUAUAUUGUUUUAGUUUUUAUUGGUGGAUAGAUGAGAAAGAAAGAGGGAGUGAAUUGUCUGGAAAAUAAAAGUUUACUCCUAUUGAAAAUAAUUUCUUUGUUUUUGAGGAAAAUGUGAUCAAAAGUAGGAAAAUGUUUUUCACGAAGAAAAUAUUAACAAUUAAACACUCUCUCACAGUUAAUUGAUUCCUUAGCCCCUGUCUGGUCGUACUUAUAUGGGAUUUUUAGCAAUUUUUGGACCGUUACACCAUGCAAACCAAUGUCAGUCACAAAUGUGGGGAAAAGAAGUAGCAAUCGUCUUAUUUUUAUUUUGAAUUACCAGAAAUGUCAGCUUGGAAUUGAAUGUAAAAAUAAAGGGGCACAUAGGUAAUUUUUUCACUUUAAUUAUCAGGUUAGGAAGUAGUCAAUAAUUGCUAGUCGUAUGGGAUUUUCUUGCACUGUAUAACGGUCAAAAAACUGCUUAAAAUUUUAAAAUAAAUGCGACCAGAAUGACUUAAUGAGAUUAGAGCAGAAAAUCAGCAAGGAAGAGAGAGAGGAGCUAGAAAGCAAGAGAGAGAUGCAGAAAAGCCAAGCCUAAAGUAGAUUGGACGAGAUCAAGGGAAGGUAAACUAUGGCACUUUCAUAUGCAAUGGUCCGGCUAUCAAGCAGUAGGUGUCCAAAGCGAGAACCUAAGCGCUUUAGCUGUCUAAAGAAAGGAAAUGGAGUCUCUUUAGAAAGUUCAUCAAUUGCAAUUUGUAUUUUUUGAUUUCAUGUAAUUUGUAAUGCAACAAUAAAAGCAUAUUAUGAACAAUGGCAUUGCAGGAGACAAUCUAAUUAAUGUAUUUUGUGCCCAAAGACGUAAAUUUUUUCCCUUUCUGGAGUUCAUAUUCA